rnacentral:rRNA from 1 species
UACAGAGGUCUCAAGCGUUGUUCGGAUUCAUUGGGCGUAAAGGGUGCGUAGGCGGCUCGGUAAGUCGGGGGUGAAAUCUCGGAGCUUAACUCCGAAACUGCAUUCGAUACUGCCGUGCUUGAGGACUGGAGAGGAGACUGGAAUUUACGGUGUAGCGGUGAAAUGCGUAGAUAUCGUAAGGAAGACCAGUGGCGAAGGCGGGUCUCUGGACAGUUCCUGACGCUGAGGCACGAAGGUCAGGGGAGCAAACGGG